rnacentral:lncRNA from 1 species
AGAAAAUCUGAAUAAAUUGCCCAAGUCAUCUCUCUCACGGCAGCCCGGCCAGCGUGUAGACCGGCUUGACUCCCAACACUCUCAUGCGUGUUCGUGCGCCCUCUGCUGGCGGACAGCGCUGGGGAGACGAGGAUCUUCCCGCCACUUCCUGCCAUGGCUCUGUCCAGCUCUGCGUCCCUGCCAGAGGACCUGCCCUUCCCUCAUGACUCCAACAGCAGCCCUUGAAACCGUCCAGCGAUAACUGAAGCAGGGCCCUUUGGUCUCCAGACCCCUGACCCUAAGAGGAGAAAAGAGAAAGGACGACUCUUAUUUUACUCCAGUCCCUGCCAAAGCUGAUGCAAGGCCUUUCGGCCUUUCCUGCUUGGGUGAAAAACAGAAACAGGCAAUGGGUGUGUCCACUGGCCUGUGUGAACAGUCUCAUAAAAAAGGUGUUAUUGAUUUACCAAGGG